rnacentral:lncRNA from 1 species
CAGCCCUAAAGGCAGGAGGGCCUGAAUUCAAAUCUGCCCUCAGACACUUAACACUUCCUCGAUGUGUGACCUUGGGCAAGUCACUUAACCCCAAUUGCCUCAGAAAAAAAAAAAGUUAUGAAGACCGGAUUUCAAUUAAUAUCUUUGAAAUAUCCUGAGCAAGUCCUUUAAAAUCUGUUUGCCUCAGUUUCCUUAUCUGUAAAAUGGGGAUAAUAACAGUAGCUACCUCUCAGCAUAGCUGUGAGGAUCAGAUGAGAUAAUUAUAAAACAGUACCAGGUACAUAAUAAGCACUAUAUAAAUGUGAGAUAUUAUUGUAAUGACAAUUUUUUUUUUUUUUGGUAAAGGAAGUUUCCUCACUUGGUCGUUCCCAGUGAAAUCAUAGAUCCAUAUUAUUAUCUCAGUUGAUCCUCACAAUAACCCAGGAAGUAGCUGGGUAGUCUCCUUAUUAUAUCAAUAAUUCAUUGGAAUAAUUCCUUUCUUCUUUUAGGUGACAAAUCAUUUACUUUCUCUGAACAUCUCAUCUGGUCCUAAGGAACAUGAAGCCUACUAGACCCAGAACCCCACUUUUCCGGAGGAAGUUACUUUUGAUUCUACUCCUGAAGGAUUGUGUCUGCCCUGCAGGCUAUGCAAAAUAUUACUGAUUCUGAACCUGGAGGGAAAACUGUAAGUUCAUAGACGUUCUCAAACUGUUUUCAAUCAUGGGGUAUGGUCCUCCAGCU